CAUCUCCUGACUUUGUCAGGGAGUGCUCAGGGGAGGAGCAGACAGGAGGUAGAGGACUGUCCUCCUCCUGCCUCACCCAGGGACAAGGGAGGACUGAGACAACGGCCAUUUGUCUGGUGGUCACCUUGUGGAAACUCCCUGCCCUUCUUUUUCUAGGCCUGUUUUCUCUCUGCAGAAUGAACCGCUCUAAAAGGUCCCGCCCACUUAGAAUUUUCUAGGAUGCACAAUUAGCCUCUCUUUCUGGGGUGUUCCCUGAUGGUGCUUAAGGAGGCCUGCCUGGUCUUCCUGCCGGUGCAAAGCUUUCUGCCUGCCUUCUCCACCUCCCACCAAGCACCCUCCUUAUCAGACACGUGAGGUUCAUUUUUCACCAGAGUUUACAAGCAGGAUCUGGAAGAGCCGGUCUGCAGAAGUAGUGCCGGCACUUGCUGGCUCCCGCUCCAACAGGGAAGCAAGUGGCUUGGAACCAGGAGACCUGCCUGACAGCACUGUGAUUUUGGUAGAAUUCUUAUGCCCAUUUUCCUGGAGGGGAAACUGAGGGACAGAGAGCUGAAGCAAAUAAGUGGAGAAGCUGAGAUACAAACCCAGGCUGCCUGGCUCCAGAGUCCAUGCCCUUGACAUCGCCACACCUCCGGAGGCGCCGUGCCUGGGUUCAAGUCCUGGCGCACCAGCCGCAUCGCAUGAGCCAAGACUCUGGGACAAGCUGGGUCUUCUGCUGCCCCCCCCCCCACUACCCUCCAUCUCCAUCCUGCACAUACUGCGAGGGCCAGGGUCUCCAGGGACCUCCCUGCUGCCUUAUCUUCCUCCUUCUCAGCCAACAGCCAGCCCUAUCCGAGACACCAUCCGGCAGCAUCUUCUUCGGCAGGCGGGACACGCCUUCCUGUGGCUGCCCUCCCACCUCUCCGGCUACUCACCUCCUCCCCCAGCCCUGGAAGUCACAGGUUUCUGGUCUGCAAUUCUGCCGGCUUCACCAAGCUGUCUGUUGUGGUGCGGGGAGAGGAAGGGACACAGCUAUUGAGGAGAAAGGCUCUGGACGCUAGGUUGCUGGGGAUACCUGGCCCCUGCGGCCACUGCCCCACUUCUCCCCACCCCCAUUCCCUCCAGAGAACCCUCUGAACCACACAGGAGCUCACUCAAGGAGCCCAACACACCACAGCAAAGCAGGUGCACUGUGUGUGGGCAAAGGACAUACGUCGCGCGUGUGCCUUUUGUCCAGGAGUCUAUGAAGAAUUACAGCUAAUCCCUAGCUAGGGGGUCAGGAGACACCCCAGACCCAGACUGGGGCUCUGACCCAAGUCAGUUGCUUGUCUUGGACCUUCCUUCUUAUCUUUGGCUUGUCCCAGGAUCUAUCCCCAGGAGAUAUGUAUUAUAAACCUAAGCUUCUUUGUGCUUCUAAUACUAAAACUGUACCCGAAAUAACUGUCAGAAGUUCUUCCCUCGGGAGAGGGGGACUAAAGACCUGAAAGUGGAAGGAGACUGACCAACUUUUCACUGAGGAUCUUUUCAUGCUGUUUGAUUUUCUUUUUGUUUUAAUCAUGUAUAUGGAAUAUCUUUUUUUUUUAAGAUUUCAUUUAUUUAUCUGAGAGAGAGACCAAGCACAAGGGGGGAGGGUCAGAGGCAGAGGGAGAAGCAGAUUCCCUGCCGAGCAGGGAGCCUGACGUGGGGCUCCAUCCCAAGACUGCAGGACAGUGACCUGAUCUGAAGGCAGAUGCUUAACCGACUGAGCCACCCAGGCGCCCCUGUAAUGUCUUUUUAAUAAUUAAAUUACCCUCCCCCUCACAGAGGGAAAUGGUGGAGCCAAGGAGUUGGUCUGUAUCCUGUAGGGCAACAGGGAGCUAACGGAGGUUUCCAAGCAAGCAUGGGACAUGCUCAGAUGUGCAGAAGAAUUGACUGCUACAGAGCCAUGGCCUGGAGUGAGCAGCAGGACACCUGCUAGGAGGCUGGGGUACUUCUCUGGAGUCUAACCUGGACAGGGGGCCCAUCAAAUUCGGGGCCCACAUUGUGGCGCUCACAGAGAGGUAAGUUUUCCUGGAUCAAACCCCAAGACUAAACACAGACUGCAUACACACUACACACAGUCUCCUAUACAGGGUGGAUGCACAUCUGUGGCCCCAACGAGACAGGACAAUCAGGCCAGGCUCAAGAGUUCAUUGCCACUUCUGUUCCCCUAAAACAAGCAAGAAUGCCAGAGAAGAUGGUGGCUUGUGAGGUUGAUGCUCUCCAGAGGAGCAAGGUGCCUUAGAAAUGAGAGAAAUGAGAACCUUUCUUUGCUUCAUGCCCACCUCUCUGUUCAGUCAAAGCUGAGAUAGAUUAAGAUUUAAUGAAUUUAUUUAUUUAGAGAGAGUCCGAGCAGGGGGAGGGGCAGAGAGAGAGAGACUCCCUGAGCUCAGCGCAGAGCCCCUCUCCUAGGAGGUUCCCAAUUGCCCCUCCUGUGUGCAUCCUUGCUCCCUGGCACUGGCCAGGUUCACACAGAGGCUCUGGAAGAUGAAAGAGGGCUGACAGUUGAUAUGUAAGCUCAGAGCCUGGAUUUCUUGGGCCCUCAGGAUCAGAAGUCAGAGACCUUUUGCAUGGAACAACCUUGGAGUCCUGGGAUAGAGUCCAGGCUCCAGGGUGCCCUGGACUUGAAUUACGUAACAGGGCUGCCCUUGUGUAUUUAACCUCUCUGAGCUCAGCUGACACAUCUGUAAAAUGGGAGUCAUCAAGCCCUCCUCCAAGGCUGGCCCAAAGCUUGGAUGGCCUUGUGGGCAUCUACCCAGCACAUGAUGCCAAGGCGGGGAGGGAGGGGGCUCUUGUCUCCUUCAGUUCCCUCUUUGUCAGCAGGGAGAGAGGGCCAAGUAGAGGAGGGUGAUGGAGAGGAAGGAGAGAAGUCCCAAAUUAGCUCAGGAGAAGGCAGGAGGAGUCCUGGUUGAUCUUUCUCUCUCCCUAUUUACGUCUAUGCCCAGAUGGUUGCUUAUCUGUUUAAAGCAUCAGAAGUUUCUUAUCAGCAAAGGGGGAGGUAGCGUGAAGAUCCACAGCUUAAAGGCUAAGACUCCAUUGGUUCCGAUUCCCCUCACUUUUACAGUCAGAAACCUAGAAACUUCUCUGAACAUCCCCAUCCCCAAGUGGAAUGCCUACAAGAGACCAAGGGACAAAUGCUUGUUCCUAGUCCCUUGAGAGUUAAUGCAAAAACACUGAGCCCUCCCCGCGCAGGCACUCCUACUCCUUUUUCUACCUCAUUGUCACCUUUUGCCAUACACUGUUCCAGUUAAGCCAGGUGUCCUUAUUUUAUUAUUUACUUAUUUUAUUUUUUUAAAGAAAAUACCCAUUAGAGCUGGUCCUUAACAGGGACCUAGUCCAAGUUCUGCCACCGCGUGACCACAGGAAUUUAUUCCCCCUGUUUAUGCCUUGGCAGCCUUAUCUUUACAAGGUGGAUGGACUAGACCUAAGUUCUAAUCUCAGGUUCUGUGGCUGAACUUUAGAUGUGCAUAGACUCCUUUAAAAAUUGA